rnacentral:misc_RNA from 1 species
GAUGAAGAACGUGGCGAAAUGCGAUAAGUAGUGUGAAUUGCAGAAUUCAGUGAAUCAUCGAAUCUUUGAACGCACAUUGCGCCCCUUGGUAUUCCAUGGGGCAUGCCUGUUCGAGCGUCAUUUGUACCUUCAAGCUCUGCUUGGUGUUGGGUGUUUGUCUCGCCUCUGCGUGUAGACUCGCCUCAAAACAAUUGGCAGCCGGCGUAUUGAUUUCGGAGCGCAGUACAUCUCGCGCUUUGCACUCAUAACGACGACGUCCAAAAGUACAUUUUUACACUCUUGACCUCGGAUCAGGUAGGGAUACCCGCUGAACUUAAGCAUAUCAAUAAGCGGAGGA